GAUGAACGCUGGCGGCGUGCCUAAUACAUGCAAGUCGAGCGAACGGACGAGAAGCUUGCUUCUCUGAUGUUAGCGACGGACGGGUGAGUAACACGUGGAUAACCUACCUAUAAGACUGGGAUAACUUCGGGAAACCGUAGCUAAUACCGGAUAAUAUUUUGAACCGCAUGGUUCAAAAGUGAAAGACGGUCUUGCUGUCACUUAUAGAUGGAUCCGCGCUGCAUUAGCUAGUUGGUAAGGUAACGGCUUACCAAGUCAACGAUGCAUAGCCGACCUGAGAGGGUGAUCGGCCACACUGGAACUGAGACACGGUCCAGACUCCUACGGGAGGCAGCAGUAGGGAAUCUUCCGCAAUGGGCGAAAGCCUGACGGAGCAACGCCGCGUGAGUGAUGAAGGUCUUCGGAUCGUAAAACUCUGUUAUUAGGGAAGAACAUAUGUGUAAGUAACUGUGCACAUCUUGACGGUACCUAAUCAGAAAGCCACGGCUAACUACGUG
rnacentral:rRNA from 1 species